rnacentral:sRNA from 1 species
AUGUACCACUCGUGCACUCCCGGUUCCUGCGCGCCGUCCGCGCCCACCUGGCGACUGCUUGCUACGUUUUUCUAGCC